GGGCUUGUGGUUUAGUGGUAUAAUACUCCCUUAGCACGUGAUAUUCAGAUCGUGAUUUUAAGAUCAGUGAUUUUGAGAUUCUUUGUACAACUUGGGAGUGGUCCGGGGUUCGAUUCCCCGCGAGUCCA